AGCUAAUAGAUGCUCUCUGCUGCGAAGUCCAUCUACAACAUGGCAGGGUCAUUGUUCCCCUCUGGCAAAGGAGUUUUUGUUUGCAACAGGUGAGGAUGAGUUGGUGCAAACAGCAAGCUGUGUGUAGUAGUAACUCCACCAACUUUGAGGGUCUUUAUCAGAGAAACUCACUCAGUGAUUCAUACAAAAGAGAACAAGAAACUGAUCUCUGGAAAGGAAGCACAGAAGACUUCUGAGCUUGUGCCAGACCCCUGUGAAGUCCAAGUGAGGGCCCAAGGGCUCCAUCAUUGUCCUUUCCUGUUAGCACAUGGAACAAAAUGGGACAGCAGUCCUACAAAGAGCCUCUAGGGGCUACUGCAGUUCAAUAAAUCACAAUAUAUAAAAUGCAAACCCAGUUUUGAGUCUGAUAUGGACUGUGUUAAUCUCUGGUGUGCUAUCUUGGACUUCAGAAGAGUUACAUGCAAUAUUGCCCACUGAAUCUUUGCUGACUGCUCUCUCAUUGCCACAAAGGAUAAAGGAUCACAGUUGUCUUUGGCCUGAACUCUCAACAUCUCCAAGAGUGCAGUAAUACUCCUGAGGGCACUUGAGUACUGCUGGCAUUGGACACCACUGGUGGAGGAAGCAGCAUGGCAAUCUUCUGCUAACAGCUCAGCUGAAUCCCAGGAAACUGAUUAAGAGGAAGGAGAACUGACUGAGCCCAACACAGGUGGUCUGUAAAGCUGGAAGGGGUCUUCUCCACUGGGAUGAUCACAUGUUUCUGUACUCCCACACUCAAAACAAUUGGAAAUUGGUGUAAAUGGAGAAGAGGAUCGUGAUAAUCUGUGUAGUCAAUUCAGAUGUUUCAUAGCAGUCCCCUGGACAAAGACAGUAAGAUGGAGCCAUGCCAAGUCAAGAGACCUAAAGUUUUUGCAAGAACUCUCACCUUAACAUACCAGCACUCGUGUCCUUCAGUUUUAACCUGCUGGAGUUAUGUAUAAUUGAUGUAGGGGUUGAGAAAGUCAUCUGACAUCUGCAUAAGGAAAAUGUUAAGCUUUCUCAGUUUCUAGCACAUGAUUUUUAAGACAUUUUAAUCCCCUCCCUUUCAAGUGUGGAUUUACUGGGGAGGUCAAGGGGUCAUUAACACUUCCCCUGCUCCUGUACCAUUGACAGGCAAACUCAUCAAGGACUGGUGUUGGAUAGUGUUAUUUCAUUAAUGCACAUACCUGUGUUUGGGUUUUUUUCCUUCAGCCAAGUCCUCAUCAUCCUAUUUCUUUAAUUAUUUGAAGUUUAGAAAUUGUCUUUCAUUUAAAUAUCAUCAGCUCAAGGCUCCAGUAACAGACCUUACUGUUUUUUGACGUUGCAGAUGUUCUAGGAGGAAGAAAGGAGGGUUGCCCAAAAUUGUUUUGCUUGCUAUUGCAAGGACCAGAGCCACAAUGGAGAAGAUGUUUCACCCUGUUGCACCAAUGACUAUACAUCCCUCUGUGGGCAGUAGAGAGGGGCAAGAUCAUCUCUAGGCAGCCUCUUGUUGCAGAUUGACAAAACAGAUGAAACUGCAAUGGGAUUAACUGGCACUGUAUCAAAUGUGGUAAAGCAAGGAUAGUUCCUCUGCCUGCUUUAGAAGCAGGCUUUUAUCUGCCUACAUAUCUCUUUUUGAAAGUCACUCAAGGAUGCCCAGUUUUAUACAGCCAAAUACCCCUCUGUAUGUGCAUUUAUUUAGUCAGUGUCAUUUUAUGGUCAUGUACACAUGAAGAAGAAGAAUAUGAAGAAGAAGGCAGAAGAAUAUGACAUCACUAAGUACACCCUCAGACACCAAGUGGAGUGGUAUGGUUGACACACCUGAAGGAAGGGAUGCCAUCCAGAGGGACCUGGACAAGCUCAAAAAGUGGUGGUAUGGGAAUCUCAUGAGAUUUAACAAGACCAAGUGCAUGGUCCUGCACCUGGAUCAGGGCAACCUAUACUAUCAAUACAGACUGGGGAUGAGCAGAUCAAAAGCCUGCCAAGGAGGACUUGGGGGCGCUGGUGAAUGAGCAGCUGGACAUGGCAUGGCAGUGUGCACUUGCCCAGAAAACCAGUCAUACCCUGGGCUGCAGGGAGAGGAUUUUGCCUCUCUGCUCUGCUCUCAUGAGACCCCCAACUGUAGUUCUGCACCCAGAUUUGGUGCAGAUUUUGCCUUAGCACAGGCAGAUACUGACUUGUUGGAGUCCAGAAGAGGGUCACAAAGAACACUAGAGGAAAGGAGCACAUCUCCUGUGAGGGAAGAGGAAAAUAAUUUGGACUGUUCAGCCUGGAGAAGAGGACUUCAGGGUGACCUAUCUGUGGCCUUCCAGUACCUGAAGGGAGACCAAAAGACUGAUGGAGUGAGAUUGUUUACAGGAGCAUGACAGAACAAGGGAGAAUGGCUUCAAACUGACGGAGAGUAAGUUCAGAUUAAAAGAAGUUCUGUAAGGGUGGUGAGGCACUGAAUGGGUGUCUUAGGUUGCAAAUGCAAGAUGUGGAUGGGGAUGUGUGUCCUGUUUCCAUCUGUUAGAACCAGCUGGGGCAAUUUUCUUUAUCUCUUCCACAACCAGUCCUCCCUCCAGGAAAUAUCAUCUGUUAAUGGGCAACUGAUAAAAUUACAUCAUCCCAUUGUGAGCUGCUCUGCCCAGGGGGAGGAGCCAAACAUUCCUACCUAGAUAUGAUCUGAGAGUUGAAACACCAGUCAGCCUUUUCCCAGUGGAUUUGCAGAGGAGCAGCUUUUUCCCACUAGAUUCCCAGAAGACCAGGCCCAUCUACACCACCACUGGACCUUGAGAAGAAAACUACACCUUUCUACAAGAUCAUUUUUUCAACAGAACUACAUCUGUCCAUCCAGGAGGACUGC